rnacentral:snRNA from 1 species
GUGCUCGCUUCGGCAGCACAGAUACUAAAAUUGGAACGAUACAGAGAUUAGCAUGGCCCCUGCGCAAGGA